rnacentral:rRNA from 1 species
GGAUUCCCCUAGUAACUGCGAGUGAAGCGGGAAAAGCUCAAAUUUGAAAUCUGGCGGUCUUUGGCCGUCCGAGUUGUAGUCUGGAGAAGUGCUUUCCGCGCUGGACCGUGUAUAAGUCUCUUGGAACAGAGCGUCAUAGAGGGUGAGAAUCCCGUCUUUGACACGGACUACCAGUGCUUUGUGAUGCGCUCUCAAAGAGUCGAGUUGUUUGGGAAUGCAGCUCAAAAUGGGUGGUGAAUUCCAUCUAAAGCUAAAUAUUGGCGAGAGACCGAUAGCGAACAAGUACCGUGAGGGAAAGAUGAAAAGCACUUUGGAAAGAGAGUUAAACAGUACGUGAAAUUGCUGAAAGGGAAACGCUUGAAGUCAGUCGCGUCGUCCGGAACUCAGCCUUGCUUUCGCUUGGUGCACUUUCCGGAUGACGGGUCAGCAUCGAUUUUGACCGUCGGAAAAGGGCUGGAGUAAUGUGGCACCUCCGGGUGUGUUAUAGACUCCGGUCGCAUACGGCGGUUGGGAUUGAGGAACGCAGCGCGCCGCAAGGCAGGGGUUCGCCCACUUUCGCGCUUAGGAUGCUGGCAUAAUGGCUUUAAACGACCCGUCUUGAAACACGGACCAAGGAGUCUAACAUACCUGCGAGUGUUUGGGUGGAAAACCCGAGCGCGUAAUGAAAGUGAAAGUUGAGAUCCCUGUCGUGGGGAGCACCGACGCCCGGACCUGACGUUCUCUGACGGAUCCGCGGUAGAGCAUGUAUGUUGGGACCCGAAAGAUGGUGAACUAUGCCUGAAUAGGGUGAAGCCAGAGGAAACUCUGGUGGAGGCUCGUAGCGAUUCUGA